rnacentral:rRNA from 1 species
CCAUUCCGCGUGCAGGACGAAGGCCUUCGGGUUGUAAACUGCUUUUGUACGGAACGAAAAGGUCCUGGUUAAUACCCGGGGCUCAUGACGGUACCGUAAGAAUAAGCACCGGCUAACUACGUGCCAGCAGCCGCGGUAAUACGUAGGGUGCAAGCGUUAAUCGGAAUUACUGGGCGUAAAGCGUGCGCAGGCGGUUAUGUAAGACAGAUGUGAAAUCCCCGGGCUCAACCUGGGAACUGCAUUUGUGACUGCAUAGCUAGAGUACGGCAGAGGGGGAUGGAAUUCCGCGUGUAGCAGUGAAAUGCGUAGAUAUGCGGAGGAACACCGAUGGCGAAGGCAAUCCCCUGGGCCUGUACUGACGCUCAUGCACGAAAGCGUGGGGAGCAAACAGGAUUAGAUACCCUGGUAGUCCACGCCCUAAACGAUGUCAACUGGUUGUUGGGUCUUCACUGACUCAGUAACGAAGCUAACGCGUGAAGUUGACCGCCUGGGGAGUACGGCCGCAAGGUUUGAAACUCACAGGAAUUGACGGGGACC